CUUGAUGUUUCCAUCGUCGCGGAUGACUCCUCCCCAGCGUGUGUAGAUGGACAGGCCGCCACUGGCCUCCCUCUCGCCCUCCCUCUUCAACAGCUCCUGCUUCUCCCUCAUCUUCUCCCAGUUCCUCAGUAGGAACACACAGUGCUUCAGCACAAAGUUCCUGAGCCACAGGGAGAGAGAGAGAGAGCGGUGAGUGUGUGUGUUCUGUUUGCAUGAAGGGCAGGUGGGGUGUGUUUGGCACGUGUGCUGUGUGUGUACCUCUCUCUGUUGGACAUGGGUUUCAUAAGAAGGUGGGGAUAAAACUUGCUGCUGUCACUUGAAUCCUCCUCCUUGGGAAAAGAGAAGAGGGGGAGAGUUAGAGAUAAAGGAGUACUGAUCCUAUGCUGCUGUCACUUGAAUCCUCCUCCUUGGGAAAAGAGAAGAGGGGGAGAGUUAGAGAUAAAGGAGUACUGAUCCUAUGCUGUUGUCACUUGAAUCCUCCUCCUUGGGAAAGGAGAAGAGGGGGAGAGUUAGAGAUAAAGGAGUACUGAUCCUAUGCUGCUGUCACUUGAAUCCUCCUUCUUGGGAAAGGAGACAAGGGGGAGAGUUAGAGAUAAAGAAGUACUGAUCCUAUGCUGCUGUCACUUGAAUCCUCCUCCUUGGGAAAAGAGAAGAGGGGGAGAGUUAGAGAUAAAGGAGUACUGAUCCUAUGCUGCUGUUCAGUCCAGCCCUCUCACUAUUCAAGUCCAUGUCAUUUUUUUAAUCGAACCUUCCACCCCACAAAAAGCUCCUUUGAAACAAAGACUCACUCUGUUCUACAUGCACAGUGCCCCUUAAAAUAAACUUAGCCGUUCUGUAGGUUACAGAGCUAAAGACAUGGCAAAAUAUUGACUGAUUUAGGACCAGAAUACAAUGGCUUUGCUUUUAGGCUCCAUAAAAUAGCUGUGGUAAAACGUUUGAUGACAGUAAAUAUCAAAGACCCAUUGCAGUGGCAAGACACCUGAUAUAACAUUUCCUCUAGUCUCUCUCCCUUACACGCACUCGUUUUUUCAGCUGGUGCUUGGACUUGCGUUUCUCCUUGAGUCGACCCAGCCGCCGUGCCCCGCCUGUCUUUCCAGGCAUCCCGUUGAUUCGCUGGCUUUUCCCUCCGAUGAUGCCCCGGCAGCCCUCUGAGCCACAUUUACACACUUGCUGUAGAGAGAGUGAGAGCGAGAGAGAGCGAGAGAGAGGGGAGUAGAGAAAGAGAGAGCGGAGUAAAGAGAGAGAGAGCGAGGGGAGUAGAGAGAGGGGAGUAGAGAAAGAGAGGGGAGUAGAGAGAGAGAGAGGGGAGUAGAGAGAGAGGGGAAUACAGAGAGAGAGCGAGAGAGAGGGAAGUAGAGAAAGAGAGGGAGUAGAGAAAGAGAGGGAGUAGAGAGAGAGAGGGGAGUAGAGAAAGAGAGGGGAGUAGAGAGAGAGAGAGAGGGAGUAGAGAGAGAGAGGGAGGAGAGAGAGGGGAGAGAGAGAGAGAGGGGAGUAGAGAGAGAGAGAGAGAGAGAGAGGGGAGAGAGCGAGAGGAGUAGAGAGAGCGAGGGGAGUAAAGAAAAAGAGGAGGAGAGAGAGCGAGGGGAGUAGAGAGAGAGAGAGAGAGGGGAGGAGAGAGGGGAGUAGAGAGAGAGCGGGGAGGAGAGAGAGAGCAAGAGAGAGAGAGAGAGGGGAGGAGAGAGGGGAGUAGAGAGAGAGAGGAGUAGAGAGAGCGAGAGGGAAGGGAGUAAAGAGAGAGAGAGAGAGGGGAGUAGAGAGAGAGAGGGAGUAGACAGAGAGAGGGAGUAGAGAGAGAGGGGAGUAGAGAGAGAGGGGAGUAGAGAGAGAGAGGAGUAGAGAGAGAGAGAGAGAGGUAGAGAGAGCGAGGGGAGGGGAGGGGAGAGAGGGGAGAAGAGAGAGAUGGGAGUAGAGAGAGAGAGGGGAGUAGAGAGAGAGAGGGAGUAGAGAGAGGGAGAGGGGAGUAGAGAGAGCAAGAGAGAGGGGAGUAGAGAGAGGGAAGGAGAGUGAGAGAGAAGGGAGUAGAGAGAAAGAGAUGGGAGUAGAGAGAGAGAGGGGAGUAGAGAGAGAGAGGGAGAAAUGGGAGUAGAGAGCGGGGAAGAGGGGGAGAGAUGGGAGUAGAGAGCGGGGAGGAGAGAGAGAGAGGGGAGUAGAGAGAAAGGGGAGUUGAGAGCGAGAGGGGAGUAGGGAGAGAGAGGGGAGUAGAGAGAGAGACGGGAGUAGAGAGAGAGUGGAGUAGAGAAAGAGAGAGCGGAGUAAAGAGAGAGAGAGCGAGGGGAGUAGAGAGAGGGGAGUAGAGAAAGAGAGGGGAGUAGAGAGAGAGAGAGGGGAGAGAGAGAGGGGAAUACAGAGAGAGAGCGAGAGAGAGGGGAGUAGAGAAAGAGAGGGGAGUAGAGAGAGAGAGGGGAGUAGAGAGAGAGCGGAGUAAAGAGAGAGAGAGAGCGAGGGGAGUAGAGAGGGGAGUAGAGAAAGAGAGGGGAGUAGAGAGAGAGAGAGGGAAGUACAGAGAGAGAGAGGGGAGUACAGAGAGAGAGCGAGAGAGAGGAGAGUAGAGAAAGAGAGGGGAGUAGAGAAAGAGAGGGGAGUAGAGAGAGAGAGGGAGUAGAGAAAGAGAGGGGAGUAGAGAGAGAGAGAGGGGAGUAGAGAGAGAGGGAGUAGAGAGAGAGAGGGGAGUAGAGAGAGAGAGAGGGGAGUAGAGAGAGCGAGAGAGAGAGAGAGAGAGGGAGAGAGCGAGAGGAGUAGAGAGAGCGAGG
ensembl:lncRNA